CCCGGCUCAUUUUCUGUGUUUUCAGUAGAGACGGGGUUUCACUGUGUUAGCCAGGAAAGUCUUGAUCUCCUGACCUCGUGAUCCUGACCUCGGCCUCCCAAAGUGCUGGGAUUACAGGCGCGAGCCACCGCGCCCGACAGCAGUUAUGAAGUUCUAAAAGCAAGUCUUAAUCAGGAAGUGUCCUUGAUCACCAACGGCUCGCCCAGGCAUGCUGGCUCUCUUCCACUUCCACCUUCCACCAUGGGAUGACGCAGUAAGAAGGCCAUCAGUAGAUGCCAGUCCCUCAACCUUGAACUUUCCAGACGCAGAACUUUAUGCCUCCAUUUUCCUCUGCUGCAUGGCCCCAGGAGAGAUUUUAAUUAGCUUUCUAACCUUGGUCCAGAUUGCACAUGCAAAUGGUAGAGGAUGCAACACCCCCGCUUGUGGAGCUGCCGCUUGUGUCUGGCAUGGUGAGUUCAACAUUUGCUGCAAGUC
rnacentral:lncRNA from 10 species